GUGGGGAAUAUUGCACAAUGGGCGCAAGCCUGAUGCAGCAACGCCGCGUGAGGGACGACGGCCUUCGGGUUGUAAACCUCUUUUAGCAGGGAAGAAGCGAAAGUGACGGUACCUGCAGAAAAAGCACCGGCUAACUACGUGCCAGCAGCCGCGGUAAUACGUAGGGUGCAAGCGUUGUCCGGAAUUAUUGGGCGUAAAGAGCUCGUAGGCGGUUUGUCGCGUCUGCUGUGAAAACCCGAGGCUCAACCUCGGGCCUGCAGUGGGUACGGGCAGACUAGAGUGCGGUAGGGGAGAUUGGAAUUCCUGGUGUAGCGGUGGAAUGCGCAGAUAUCAGGAGGAACACCGAUGGCGAAGGCAGAUCUCUGGGCCGUAACUUACGCUGAGGAGCGAAAGCGUGGGGAGCGAACAGGAUUAGAAACCCUUGUAGUCC
rnacentral:rRNA from 1 species